UACGAAGGGGGCUAGCGUUGCUCGGAAUCACUGGGCGUAAAGGGUGCGUAGGCGGGUCUUUAAGUCAGGGGUGAAAUCCCGGAGCUCAACUCCGGAACUGCCUUUGAUACUGGCGAUCUUGAGUCCGGGAGAGGUGAGUGGAACUGCGAGUGUAGAGGUGAAAUUCGUAGAUAUUCGCAAGAACACCAGUGGCGAAGGCGGCUCACUGGCCCGGUACUGACGCUGAGGUGCGAAAGCGUGGGGAGCAAACAGG
rnacentral:rRNA from 1 species